GAUCGAACGCUAGCUACAGGCUUAACACAUGCAAGUCGAGGGGCGAUCGGGAAGAAAGCUUGCUUUCUUUGCCGGCGACCGGCGCACGGGUGAGUAACACGUAUCCAACCUGCCCUUUACUCGGGGAUAGCCUUUCGAAAGAAAGAUUAAUACCCGAUAGCAUAAUGAUUCCGCAUGGUUUCAUUAUUAAAGGAUUCCGGUAAAGGAUGGGGAUGCGUUCCAUUAGGUUGUUGGUGAGGUAACGGCCCACCAAGCCUUCGAUGGAUAGGGGUUCUGAGAGGAAGGUCCCCCACAUUGGAACUGAGACACGGUCCAA
rnacentral:rRNA from 1 species